rnacentral:lncRNA from 1 species
AUAUUAAAAAUAGAAAUAUUAAUACAAUCCUAUUUAAAAUCUUAAUUGAAUCUUAAUUAAAUCUUAGAUCAAAUCCUAAUAAAUCCUAAUAAAAUCCUUGAACCUAGACAAGUUUUAAACCAAAUUCUAAGAAAAUCUUAAUCUUAAUCAAAUCCUAGACCAAAUCCUAAAUUCUUAAUCAAACCCUAAAUAAAUCUUAAAUCAAAUCCUAUAGUAAUUUGGAACGUCAAUAAUUAAUGAUCAAGUUAUUGAAAUCAAUUCAAAAUUUGUACACUUCUUAAUGUCUUAGUUGGAAACAAGAAUAAGAAAGAUGAAACCAAUUAUACUUACUAAUUGAAAGAAAUGAAAGAUAAUCCAAUCAGGUAUUAGGUGGCAUCCUACUCCAAUUUGAAUGCUAAACUUUCAAUGCCAAUAUCUCUUUUUUGAGCUAUUGAAUUGCUAUCAAAUUUCACUUAGACAAUUGAAAAUUGAAUCUAAAAUUUAUACAAAAAAAAAAUUCUUCAAUCCAAUCAAAAAAUUACUAGAGAUUUUAAAAAUACCUA